rnacentral:lncRNA from 1 species
AUCCUCCCACUAGAUUCACUAUUUCUUUGUGGAGCUGGUGAUCUUUCUCAAAAGUCUGUAGGAACUCCAACAGACUGUGGUAGUUGACUACAGGCUUCGUCAUUCUGAAAUGACUGAGGAACGACAGGUAGGACUUGGGAAGAGAGUUUAGGAUCGCAUCUUUCUCCAGCUGUUCAUGCAAAGGGAAGCCGAGUUUGCUCAAUUUUUCAAUCUGCUUGAUCAUAUACAAUACA